rnacentral:lncRNA from 1 species
CGGAGAGUGCGUGUUGUGUUAUCAAGGUCGGUCCUGGGUGAUCUAAGGCCCAUGACAAAAUUUCAGAGUUUGCCCUCCAUAGAUAAAUUAAUUAUUAAAUUUACUUUUUUUUUAUUCAAAUUAUAAGAGUUUACAAAAGAUAAUAGAGAAUACUUUGGGGCAUCGUUAAAACCCUGUUUAAGCAAAAACCUAAAAUGAAGGAAAAAGAGUACCCGACAUCAAAAACAUUAUAUUCAACAACAAAUUAACUAAGUGUCCAUAUGUGUCAGCUUCAAUAUCCUCCACAAUUAAUCAAAUCAAACCAGCAUCAUAUGUACCUACAAGAAAAUAUUUAUUCAAAGAUCCUCUUAAACUUUCAACAACCUCUUCUUCUUUUUUCUUUCUUUGUCUUUUGAGAUUUCCAGAAAGUUGUUUUUUAGGAAACAUUUUUUUUAACAAGCACACAAGUAAUAAGAAUAAAACUAAAGAACAGACAGAGAACAAUAAAACCUAGAUUUGAAACUUCAAACAGUUUGUGCCAAAUCCUUUCUCCAAACUUCAAACUUCAAUUUGAGCCCUUUCUCCACUUUGAAACUUCAAACUUCUGUCAUUAAAAAAAAAACUUCAAACCUGGAAUUACAAGAGCAAGAGUCUAUUAUCUAUCGCAAGUGAUUUGCAGAGCCAAAUAAAAAAUAACCCAGUUGAAAAUUUUCAAAAAAAUAAAAACCUUGUUGAAAGACUGGAUCCAGAUCCUUAUUACCCGCGCUUGCAAGAGUGAACCUGAAGAAGAACCUAUGUUUUACCUCUAAUAUUAAAUCGGAAGGCAUGGGAAAUGUAAAAAAUAGAGAUUCACUAUUAUACCUAAUAUAGGAGCCUAAAUUAUAAAUAAAUAAAUAACUCUAUAUGAAAUGAAUUUUAGAAAAACACCCAAAGCCUAUUUACAACAUUAAAAAAAAAAAGGCUUUUAACUUCUUUUAAAUUACAAAACUG